AGUAAAGCUGACAGGACGCGGGGAAUGGCACGAUAAUGACAACAGAGCUUUGGGGCAUUUUUUCCAGAUUGCGAGGUCAGAAAAGGGGGCAAUAGCGGGGAAAAGGAAAGAAAUGCGAAGAACCGAGGCCAGGAGAAAAAGAUACGAGUGGGGGAUGGUCAGAUUAACAUGUAUUUUGUAUCUGGAGAUUGCUUAAGAAGGAAUCCUUGUUCGUAUUCUUUACUGACAUUCUUUGGAACCCAACCGGGAAUUCCAGGAGGACAGCGGGCACUAAACCUCACGCCCCUCCUGCAAAGGCAGAGAAAUUUUAACUGUCAUCAGGAGAUAGAAUUGUGGGGGAGAGGAAGUGGUGGAAGAGGCAGCAUGAGCCGGGGAUCACAUUCCACAGGGAACGGAGACGGGGCAAUGAUGCAGCUACAUGUUAGGAGGCUGGGGUUACUGACUGAAAUAAAUGCCGUAACAGGAUACAAGUUAAUUACAACCCAGCUACCACACAGAGGCUGUCAGGAAUGAGAAAAUCAUACCUUCGACUCAAACCUCCAAGAGAAGGAAGCCGGAGAGUGAAGCACCAUCUAAGCCUCCUCACUGAGAUGUGCAGCUUUCUCAGGACCAGCUGAUCUCUUUCAUGGAGUGGACCAGCCUAUACACCUUCCUAACAGCCUUCACCAGUUCUAGAUUCCAGAAUUCCGAAGCCUACAUUCUCACUUUGGAGUCAUGUCGUUUUUGGCUGAAGAAGACCUGAAAGAGGUCCCAGAAACCUUCCUGAUGCCCAGGCUACUUUAGAAGUAGCAAAAAUUAUUUCUUCAAGAUGGUGUCUUGGAGGAAAGUGGUGGGCACACCUCUCAGCUUCCAUACGCCCUGGGAGCUUUUUCCAGAGGGAGAUCUUAGCACAGCAGGAAGACAAAAGCCAUUGUCAAGGCUCUACCUUGAUGUACGUGGGAAAAAUCAGACUAUGGUGAAGAACUGGACACAGGCAGACCAUUGUGAAA